GUCUAUAUAGAUUAUGUUGUAAAUCAUGAUGCUGUUAACUUCAAGAAGGAAAAUAUUCCUGUAGUCG
rnacentral:tRNA from 1 species